UUUAGCUCAUCAGCUAUCAUUAGUGUUAGUGUAUUUUAUGUGUGGCCUAAGACAAUUCCUCUUCUUCCAACGUGGCCCAGGGAAGCCAAAAGAUUGGACAUCCCUAGCCUACAGAAUGUAUGGAACACCAUCAAGCAAACCAGUGUACAUACUGUGGAAGUCCCAGAAGGAGAAGAGAGAGAAAAAGGAAAACAGAAUACUUAAAGAAAUCAUAGCUGAAAGGCAUGAGCCCCCAAAUCCAAAAAGGCACAGUGCAUCCCAAGUAAGAUGAAUUCAAAAACACCCACAUUGACACAUAAUAUAAUCAAACUUUCCUUUUUUUUUCUGACAGACUUUUGCCCUGUUGCCCAGACUGGAGUGAAGUGGCAUGCUCUCAGCUCACUGCAACCUCCUCCUCUUGGAUUCAAGAGAUUCUCUUGCCUCAGCUGCCCAAGUAGCUGGGAUUACAGGUGGAGAAGUUUAAGAAGUGUGGCCAAAUGGAUACAUCAACAGGAAUAGCCAUAAAGAGAAUAUGAAAUGAGGGACGCUUUUUUUUCUUGUGAAGAGGUUUGGACUCCAAAAUCAUUUCCUCGAGUUCAAAGGCUUUGUGUUAGAUGCUGAGAAUACCAUGGUACACACGUCAGACAUGGUCCCUACCCUCAUGAAGCUAAGAGGAAAAUGGUACGUAACCAAGGAUCACACAAAUGCUGGGUAUAAUUUUAAACUGAAAAAUGCUAUGAAGGAAAGAUAGUGUUAUGUGAACUUACACCAAGAAGGUGAUAUUUGAGCUAAGAGCUAAAGCUGUGCUUCCCAAACUAUGCAGAAGGGUCAGUUAUUUUUGUUUGUUUUUGUCUGUUCAAUUUCCAAUCCACUAAAAUCAGUAUGUGGUCUUAUUAUGCAUUGCCAGUAUGCAGCACCCCACAUAGACACCUUGUGACUUGAGUUCAACAACUGUCAAACAAGCUUGGACUCUCUUCAAUAAGACAAGUCCACUGAUCAUGUGUUUAGAUGCUACAGCAGUGUCCAAUUGCUAUAAAAGUUUCUACAUGCUUCUCUCAAGUUCUUUACUUAUAAUAGACCUGCAGAAAAAAUUCAUGGACUAGAACCAGUGAACCAUAUUGAGUAGUACUGCUCUCAAGGAGGAACUAGAGGAACUAGGAUUGGAGGCACUGUUCCAGGAAUAGUGCACACUGGCAUGUGCGAAGGCCCUGUGGUGAGAGGAAGACUGGUAUGUAAAAGUGAAGAAGUGGAAAAGAAAGAAAAGAAGAAGAAAAAGGCCAAAGCAGUUUAUGUGUAGUCAAAGGGGGGAUAAAAGUCCAAAAGUCCAAAACAAGGCUUGAGAGGUAUUUUGAACUUUUGUACCAUAAAAUUAUUUUAAUCUGUAUUCUAAGAACAAGGAAAAUAUCCUGGACUGUGCUUUAACAGACCACUGUGGGACUGAAUGGGGAAUAGAAUGGAGUGGUAAAAGUGUAUGUGGACAAACCCGUUAUAAGGCUAGACUGAUGGCAGUUGGAUCAGGGAAAUAGUAGUGAGGACAGAGAGAAAUGAAAUAUUUUAAUACUUAAAAUAUAAAAUUUCAGAACCUGGUGAUGAAUACGCAGAUGACAAAUGAGUCCUGGUUUCUGGCUGGCAUAAGUGGAUUUGGAUAGAGAAGCCAGUCACUGAGAGAAUUUCCUGAGAAGAUAUUCAGGAAAGACAAAGAUAAAGAAGUCCUUUGAGUUUAAGAUGGCUUUGGGACAUCCAAGGGGAAUCUGAGUUGAGUUAACGAAGCCAUGUAUUUGAAAGCUAACAGCUAGCAAAUACACUCUAGAAAUGUAUAUUAUCAUGACUGUCCCCAAUAUUCUAUACUAACUUCUAAACUUAAACCAGAGAGCCUGCUUCCUUUUAUUACUUCCCUUGGACAUGCAGUCUUCCUUCUUACCUUUUUAAGAAGUGACACCAUUUCCUGUGACCAGGCAGAAGGGUAAGUUACAACAGUCGUCUCAAAAGUGUGUACAAUUUCCUUGCUGGAAGUACUGGAGCGAAUAUGAUAUGGUCUCUUAAGGGAGAAAAGAAGUAAAAGUCUUCAUUUGUAUAGGACAAAAGAAAAAAAAUUUUCCAAAUGUUUCCAAGCUAAACUUCCAACCGAUAAAAUAUCUAUAUCAAUUUCUAACCCUGUCCAGCUGACUCUUGCAUUGCCAUACGUGUAGAUGGUCCUGUGUUGCCAGACCCCCUACUUUUUCUUAAAGAGCCGCUAGAAACUUAUGGUUGCUUGUAAAAUAUCAUAAAUUUUAAAGUUGAACAAUCCACUGAGCCAAACAAAACAUUCAAGUGGGCUGAAUCAGCCUCUGAGAUGCUGAUUUGAAAUUGUUUUAUAAGGUAUUAUAUAAGUAUUAACAUGAAAUACUGGACAAGUCCUCAAUAAAUGGAAGUCUAAAAAAUUAUUAUGUAAGGGUUGAUUGCAAGUAAAUCCAGAAUUUUACCAUACCAUCCCCUUCACUGCAACAUAAUGAGGAAGCUCAGGACAGAAAACUGCUCAGAAAACAUCAACUCCAGUCCCACAAAUGCUAUGAGUCCCUGGUUCCACAGAGUAUGGCAGGGUGGAGAAUUUUGUGAUGAGGCAGAAGCUUUUAAAAAAAUUUUUCAGGGGAAGAACCAGGUUCUUCUACAGUUUUAACUUUGAAGAAAAGCAAUUUAAAAAGAAAAGAAAUUAAACAAAAGAAAACUGUGGAUUAGCUGUAGUUUUCACAGCUUUACACUAGAGGACAGCCUUUAUCUAUAUUAUUUUGUAGGGGACUCACCAACACUGAAAUUUCAUGUCUCUUAUGUGAACUGUAAGCUACUCACAGCCAGAGAUUAUACCAUUCUUGUUCAUGAGACCAAGCAUUCAGUAGGUGCACAGUACAUGCUUAUUUAAUGAACAAAAUUCCCAUAUUCGAUUAACUAGCCACAGCACAGUUAAUAUGGAUAUACACAUUGAUCACAUGUCUGGCCCUUUUAAGAUAUUUAAUAAAUGACUGUUGAUGGAUGACCUAAAUUGGGGGAAAUGAAAGGGUUUAAGUUUUUCCCUGUAGUAAAUCAGUGUUAAGAGGUAAUAUAAAAUAAUCAAGUGUUUGAAGUUAAAAGGAUUUGGUGCUAAACUUCUCCACUCAAUUUCUGAGCUUGUUACUUCAUCUGUAAAAUGAGCUAUCUCAUGAGAUUGCUGGAAAAAUUAAAGGAGGUAAUAUGUGUAAAUUUCUCAACAGAGUGAGUGGCUAAUAGUAUUAGACACAAUAUAAGAGAGAGAUUUUUAUCGUUAUUGACACAAAGGUAAAAAUGGGCAUAUGUAAAUGUGAAUGAAUAGUGAACAGCAAAAUGAGUCCUCAAGAAAAGUGAUGGGAAGAAAAGCUUAAUUUUACACAUGGCAAGUCAAUGUCAGUUAUUCAUGGAACCAUGAAGUGCCAGGAGGUGGCCCUUGAAAGGGAGAUUAAUUCAAACAUUUUUUUCUUUUUAAGUAAGAUCUAAAAACAACUGCCAUAUUUUCCCCCUGAACACUAAAUAAAGGACCAUAGCUAAAUCAUAUGUCCUGGUAAUUAUAUAGUAGAAAUAACUCAUUAACUCAAUAUCAAUAAAGGAGUGCUAGAUGCUUUAUCACCAUUAUCAAUGUUUAUUGAUAAUUUAGUAGCCAAAGGGUUAGGUUACUCCAUAUGAUUCAGACCAUGUUUAUCAUUAAGAAUCAGAUUAGGCUUAGUAUACUCAAGCUUCUAGGCUUAUAUGUGUAUGCACAUGUGUUUUUUAUUUUUUCUAUGUUUCUUCUUGAUUUUAAUUCAUUGCUGCUUCUCAACCUACUGUUUCUGGGCCACCUAGAAAAUAAAAUGAUUUUAUAAACAAAUGAAUUAACUGAUGAAUGCCACAAGCAGCUGGCUUAAGUGUGUACAUUUUUCUCUAGUUACUUUACAAGGCCAUAUGACUGAAUUUAAUUUUUAAAAUCUCCAUGACCUGUUGGUUUAUUAAAAAAUAAAUCACAUUGUCUUUAUCUUAUUUUUUAAUUUACUUUUACAGUUCUAAAUUUUAAAAUUAAUUUGAAUUAAUCAACUACCAGAAUUGUAUAUUUAUGUAUUUACCAAUUAUUUAUUGAAUGCCUGCCAUGUUCCAGCACCUUUCUUAGGCAUUGAGGGUACAAUGAACAACAAGACACAUAUGGUUUCUAUAUUGGUGGGGCUUAGAGUCUACUUAAGGAAGCAUGUAAAUUUAUUAUAUAGACUGUAUACACACACACACACACACACACUUAAAUAAAUGGGAUACAUGCUAUAGAGAAAAAUUACAGUAUGCAGUCACAGUAUAUAUCAUACAAGCCUAAGGCAGCAUCUAAACUAACAGUGAGCAUAUAGAGAAUAAACAAAGUGGAAAAGGUGAAAUGUUAUAUGGGAACAAAUGAUGUGUUGUGAAUAUAGUUGUAUUUCAGAAGUGCAAAGGCAAAAGAAUUGCAGCUAAGCAUGUACAAUGAGUACAAAACUAUGUACACAUCUAUCCUAAGUUAACACUUUUGGAUAAUAUGAAACUAUAAAAGAUGUGGACCUUUGCCUUUGCAACGGCAAUGAGAUAGUAGGGAGUUAGAGAGAUGACAAAGCAGAUUAAUAGUUAAGGGACACAUUCAUUAAGACUGAAACCAAACUCAGAAAUGAUGAGAAUGUUUUCGAGCACAUUUUCUCAUUAAGACAUAUACUUUUCUGUAAAUAAAAAUUUGUACGUAUGGAGGAAAUUGUUUAGCACCCUUCCUCUGUGGUUGAGUUGUAUUGAUGCUUGUAAUUAAAUGUUACUUCCUUUUAUUCAGAUAAGCUAUAUUUUGAAACAUAAUUGCAGGUAGCCUAGUUGGUCAUUUUUUCCUAGAAGGUGUCUAAGUGAUUUGUAGUGAUUUGUUCCUCCAUUCAUUCAAUAACUGUCAGGCCUAUGAGCCCAAGCUAAGCCGUCAUAUCCCCUGUGACCUGCACAUACAUAUCCAGAUGGCUGGUUCCUGCCUUAACUGAUGACAUUACCUUGUGAAAUUCCUUCUCCUGGCUCAUCCUGGCUCAAAAGUUCCCCCGCUGAGCACCUUGUGAUCCUCACCCCUGCCUGCCAGAGAACAAUCCCCCUUUUUCCUUUACCUACCCAAAUCUUAUAAAACGGCCCCACCCCUAUCUCCCUUCGCUGAUUCUCUUUUCGGACUCAGCCCGCCUGCACCCAGGUGAAAUAGCCUUGUUGCUCACACAAAGCCUGUUUGGUGGUCUCUUCACAUGGACGUGAGUGAAAAUAACCAUGUAUUAUAUACCUAUUAAAAGUUAAAUAUUGUGACCAGGUGCGGCGGCUCACGCCUGUAAUCCUACCGCUUUGCAGGGCCAAGGCAGGUGGAUUGCUUGAGCCCAGGAGUUCAAGACCAGCCUGGGCAACAUGGUGUGUCAUAAAAGAUGAGGGCAGAGCACAAUUGCUCUGAACCCCAGAAGCAGCUAGCAAGGGGCUAACACAGAAGCACAGCCACAGAAGGGUCUCACUCCAUUGCCCAAGCUGGAUUGCAGUGAUACAAUCGUGGCUCACUGCAGCCUCGACCUCCCAGACUCAAGUGAUCCUCCAACCUUGCCCUCCCAAGUAGCUGGGACUACAGGUGGGUACCACCAUAUUUGGUAAAAUUUUUGUGCUUUUUGUAGAGACAGAGUCUUGCCAUGUUGCACAGACUGGUCUUGAACUCCUGGGCUUAGGUGAUCCACCUGCUUUGGCCUCCUAAAGUACUGGGAUUACAGGUGUGAGUCACUGCACCCAGCCAACAAGGCAAUCUUUAUAGAGUUAGAAAUUAACAGUGAUAAUCCAUGUCAAAAUCUCAGUAUGGUGCCUAGCACUUAUACAGUGCUCAGAAACAUUGGGUAGGCUUCUAGAGAGGCAAACAUUCAUAAUAAUGGACCUAGUUGAAAGAUAUGUAUGGUUGAUCCCAAGCCUCCUGUAUAAAGUGCUGGUUCUGGGCAAAGGAAACUGGUAUGACAUGGGUCCUGCACACACAGGUUUCCGUACCCAGUGCACUCAUGUUCUUUUUAAGUAAAAUCCUAUGAACAACAUCCAACUAGAGAGGUAGAGUGUUUACAUCCCAAUGCCCAGGACUGGCCCUGACUAUAAGAGCCUGAUGCAGCAGGAAUAAGUAGGGCUAUUUCCCUAGUGCAUUCACCUUUCAUGCAUCACUGCAUCCUUUCUGCAAGUCACAGCCCCCAGUGCAAUUUGGGAGAUAAUGGCCCUGACCCCACACUACUCCCACAGACAGGAUGGACUAUAUUUCUGCUCUCCCUUCUCAGUAUCUCACAACAAGUCCUAUCAGAUAGUCCCCAGGUGACAGGUGACAGACACAUCAUUUAGAGAAGCUACAAAGAACUUGGAGGGGUAAUCAGAGCCACUGUGCUAAGAAAAUGCCUAAUAGAAUAAACAUUACUCUAUAAAAGUUAUGUAUCUGUCAUAUUGGAUUAUCCUUGGGGUUUACAUGAAUAUUCUUUUCACUUUCUUUCUUUCUUCCAGCUUUAUUUAUCCAGUAUUCUUUUAUAUCCUCUCCUACCUGGUCUAUUUUCAGGCAUGAAAACAUUUUAAUACACAUUUAUUCAUUCAGCAAAUAUUCAUGGUAUGCAAGGCACUGAAGCAUUUUGGUGGAACAUUAAGAAGAAACUUUAUGACAACAUACAAAAACAUAACAGAUGAGUAAUUCUUUGAGCCCUCAAAUAGCUGAGAAACCAGAGCAGGAAGAUAUUGAAGGGCUCUCACCAACCCUUCAAGAAGAUUCCCUGCACCUAAGAGAGUACUAAGAGAGUUGGAGAAGGGCUAAAUGUCCUUCAAAAAAGCCACUGAGUAUUUUGUUUGGUAUUGCUCAUUAUGUAUUUCUAUACAUAUAUUCAGAAAAGUAAAUAAAACACCGCAGAAUUAGCAAACAGUUAUAAGCAAAUGUCCACGUAAACAUGACACAGGUCAAGAAAUGGAAUCUUGUCCCCAUCACUGUGUCCUGUUCUGUUCAUAACCCUAGAAGUCACUGUGCUAAAUUUUAUGUUAAUAAUUUUCUUGUUUUUCUAUAUAGAUCAAUCUCUAUGUACAUAUUUUUAGACAAUAGUUUAGCUUUGCCUAUCUUAUAUAGCUCCCAGAAACUGUGGAUAAAUUGGCUAGCUGCCUAUUUAUUUAUUUCAGUGCUUUAUAAUAAAGGAAACACUAACAAAGCAAAAAAAAAAAUCUAUGCCUUGUAUUCUAUUAAAUUCCAU